AGAGAGAGACAUGCGCGCAUAUCAAUAAGCGGAGGAAAAGAAACUAACAAGGAUUCCCUUAGUAACGGCGAGUGAAGCGGGAAGAGCUCAAAUUUGAAAUCUUCAAGGUUCUACCUUGACGAAUUGUAGUUUAUAGAAGUGUUUUCUGUUAGUGGAGUGGCAAAAGUUCUUUGGAAUAGGACAUCAUAGAGGGUGAGAAUCCCGUAUUUGGUCAUUCCUCCUAGCGUUGUGAUACACUUUCAACGAGUCGGAUUGUUUGGGGAUGCAGUCCAAAAUGGGUGGUAAAUUUCAUCUAAAGCUAAAUAUUGGCGAGAGACCGAUAGCGAACAAGUACCGUGAGGGAAAGAUGAAAAGAACUUUGAAAAGAGAGUUAAACAGUACGUGAAAUUGUCAAAAGGGAAGCGUUUGACACCAGUGUUGUUUUUCCGAAAAUCAAUUACGAAUGUUUUAGUUUUUAAGAAGUUAUGACUUCAUCGGCUUGCUCCUUUCUUUAUGAAACUUUCUUAAUGCACUUUUCGGUUAACAAGUCAACAUCAAUUUCUUUUGUUGUAAAAGGGUAUGAGGAAGGUGGCUUUCUUUUCGGAGAAAGUGUUUAUAGCCUUGUGCCUCUGCAAUCGGAGAGAUUGAGGUCUGCAGCGUAGAUCCUUCGGGGUUAGAUACGUUUGUGCUAAGUUAUAGCCUUUCAUAGACAACUUGUUGACCUAUGAUUAGUCAUUGUAGCUUACUCGCUUACUGCUAUUUUACCUACGCUUAGGAUGUUGAUAGUCACAGCGUGUAC
rnacentral:rRNA from 1 species